CGUGUAGGCGGGAAGAUAAGUCAGAUGUGAAAUUCCAUGGCUCAACUGUGGCGCUGCAUCCGAAACUAUAUUUCUUGAGUGAUGGAGAGGAAAGUGGAAUUCCUAGUGUAGCGGUGAAAUGCGUAGAUAUUAGGAGGAACACCAGUGGCGAAGGCGACUUUCUGGACAUUAACUGACGCUGAGGCGCGAAAGCGUGGGGAGCAAACAGGAUUAGAUACCCUGGUAGUCCACGCUGUAAACGAUGGAUACUAGGUGUAGGAGGUAUCGACCCCUUCUGUGCCGGAGUUAACACAAUAAGUAUCCCACCUGGGGAGUACGGCCGCAAGGUUGAA
rnacentral:rRNA from 1 species